rnacentral:rRNA from 1 species
UUGCUCUUCAACGAGGAAUUCCUAGUAAGCGUGAGUCAUCAGCUCGCGUUGAUUACGUCCCUGCCCUUUGUACACACCGCCCGUCGCUACUACCGAUUGAAUGGCUUAGUGAGGUCUUGGGAUUGGCUUCGGGGAGCCGGCAACGGCACCCUGUCGCUGAGAACUUGAUCAAACUUGGUCAUUUAGAGGAAGUAAAAGUCGUAACAAGGUUUCCGUAGGUGAACCUGCGGAAGGAUCAUUAACGAGUUUUGAAAUGGGUUGUUGCUGGCCUUCCGAGGCAUGUGCACGCCCUGCUCAUCCACUCUACACCUGUGCACUUACUGUAGGUUGGCGUGGGUUUCUAGCCUCCGGGUUGGAAGCAUUCUGCCGGCCUAUGUACACUACAAACUCUUAAAGUAUCAGAAUGUAAACGCGUCUAACGCAUCUUAAUACAACUUUCAGCAACGGAUCUCUUGGCUCUCGCAUCGAUGAAGAACGCAGCGAAAUGCGAUAAGUAAUGUGAAUUGCAGAAUUCAGUGAAUCAUCGAAUCUUUGAACGCACCUUGCGCUCCUUGGUAUUCCGAGGAGCAUGCCUGUUUGAGUGUCAUGAAAUUCUCAACCCAUAAAUCCUUGUGAUCUAUGGGCUUGGAUUUGGAGGCUUGCUGGCCCUAGCGGUCGGCUCCUCUUGAAUGCAUUAGCUUGAUUCCGUGCGGAUCGGCUCUCAGUGUGAUAAUUGUCUACGCUGUGACCGUGAAGCGUUUUGGCAAGCUUCUAACCGUCCAUUAGGACAAUUUUAUAACAUCUGACCUCAAAUCAGGUAGGACUACCCGCUGAACUUAAGCAUAUCAAUAAGCGGAGGA